rnacentral:rRNA from 1 species
AUACGGAGGAUGCAAGCGUUAUCCGGAAUCAUUGGGUUUAAAGGGUCCGUAGGCGGGCUAUUAAGUCAGAGGUGAAAUCCCACAGCUCAACUGUGGAACUGCCUUUGAUACUGAUAGUCUUGAGUUACAGUGAAGUAGAUAGAAUAUGUAGUGUAGCGGUGAAAUGCAUAGAUAUUACAUAGAAUACCGAUUGCGAAGGCAGUCUACUAACUGUAUACUGACGCUGAUGGACGAAAGCGUGGGGAGCGAACAGGAUUAGAAACCCUUGUAGUCC